rnacentral:misc_RNA from 1 species
UAGUGUGUGCAAAAAUGCGUGAAAGGGCAUUUAGAAAAAUCGAAAUAGUUGGAAAUAUAAUUAAAAAGUGAAGAGGAAAUAUCGUGGCUUUCAUGCCAGGAGCAUAAAUGUGAAAAUUUUCAGCUUUUAUGACAAAUUCUACUUCUUUUUCUUUUUUUUGUUUAAAUUGAGUUCAUUUAUCAAAAUGUCAUUUCCUUAUAUUAUUAUAAUACAAAGAAUUAUAAACUUGAUGUAUAAUGCAAAAUAAGGAUAUAAAAAUUAAAAUUUAUUUCACAGCUUCACUUGAAUAUGGCAUGAAAAUUGAUCAAAUUGCAAAAUUCAUACCAUUGGUAUUAUGCAAACAAUAUAGAGUGUAAUAAAAGGAAAAUAAGAAAAUACAAAUUCUGACAGUGAAUUUAGUAAAAAGUCAAGAAAAAGUAAGGCAGAUGUUAGGAAACCAUAGCAAAAUAAAAGAAGCUUAAGAAGGCAACGGUAACCAUAAUAAUAAGAAAGAAACACAGGAGAAAGGUCACUAAAAUAAAUUACAAAGUGUAAAGUGGCAAUAGG